rnacentral:rRNA from 1 species
UACGUAGGGUGCGAGCGUUGUCCGGAAUUACUGGGCGUAAAGAGCUCGUAGGUGGUUUGUCGCGUUGUUCGUGAAAACUCACAACUCAAUUGUGGGCGUGCGGGCGAUACGGGCAGACUGGAGUACUGCAGGGGAGACUGGAAUUCCUGGUGUAGCGGUGGAAUGCGCAGAUAUCAGGAGGAACACCAAUGGCGAAGGCAGCUCGCUGGAACGGUACUGACGCUGAGGCGCGAAAGCGUGGGGAGCAAACAGG